CACCAUGCUGAACUUGCUGAACCCUGUUGAUUCUGGUGACUACUCAUUAAAGCAAACGAAGCGCUGGCCUCAGAUUUGCUUUUUACUGGAGUCAUGAAGUCCCUCCCAGAACUUUGGAACGGAGUCCUUGGGUCUGAUUUUAUUUCAGGGGAAAGAGGGUAAUCAGGAAUUCCAGACUCGGGAGAGAAAUCUGAGCGGUCCUCCAAGGUAUACAUGGGAGGGGGUGGAAGAUCUGAACCACCAAAAUUUUCACGCCAUAAAGCAGAUACUGCUGCUGCCUGACCUGGCGUUGAGAAUUUCCCUUUAUGGGUAGAGACAGGGGAAGCCAAAUCUUGGAAAAACAAUGACCGAUUCCCAGAGGAUUUGGGAGUUCUAUGCACUGUAGUACUCAUCUUAUAAUGUCUUCAAAAGAGAAGCUGUGAAUUGUGAUUUGGGCUUUUAUGGCUUUCCGUCCCAAUCACCAGAGCACUAGAUGGGAUCCCUCCGCUAAAAUGGAGCCGAAAAUCAAAAAUUUG
rnacentral:misc_RNA from 1 species